rnacentral:rRNA from 1 species
UACGAAGGGGGCUAGCGUUGCUCGGAAUUACUGGGCGUAAAGGGCGCGUAGGCGGACAGUUAAGUCGGGGGUGAAAGCCCGGGGCUCAACCCCGGAAUUGCCUUCGAUACUGGCUGUCUUGAGUUCGGGAGAGGUGUGUGGAAUGCCGAGUGUAGAGGUGAAAUUCGUAGAUAUUCGGCGGAACACCAGUGGCGAAGGCGACACACUGGCCUGAUACUGACGCUGAGGCGCGAAAGCCAGGGGAGCGAACGGG